rnacentral:rRNA from 1 species
AGCUCCAGCAGUGUAUAUUAAUGUUGUUGCAGUUAAAAAGCUCGUAGUCGGAACGAGGGCGGCGUCGGUGUGGCGAAGCGCGGGGCCUCUUCGGGGGCGCAAGCGGACGUCCGAAGGACGCGGUCCGGAACGUAGGGCACACGACAGCAGUGCGAUUAAUUUCGUGUUGUAGCAGAGCGGGCGCGCGGGUGCGCGUCGGUGGUGGUGGUCCUAUGUUGCCUUGAGUAAAGUAGAGCGUUCAAAGCAGUGCGUAGCACGUUGAAUAAUUUAGCAUGGGACAACGCAACAGGCCGGGCGGCGAGCGUGGCGCGGCGCGCCGCCGGGAAUGAUGGAUAGGGAUGACUGGGGACAUUCGUAUUGGGAGGCUAGAGGUGAAAUUCAGUGAUUCUUUCAAGACGAA